CCUUAUUUAGGAAACAUUUUUCAAAUCUCCAAAAGUGUAAACUGUAUUUAAAAAAGCAAAUGACUAGCCCACAGGCCGUACAUAGUUUGCUGACCCCUGCUUUUGUAGGAAUGAGGAGCUCAGCUUUGGGGGCUUCUCAGGCGAUGCCCUUCCAUCUUGUAUAAGGAAGACAGAUAUGUCAUGCCCAGAGGCAGGUAGCAGAACAUCCUGAAAGGGAAGGGAUAGCAGGAAACAGUGACCUCCCCUGGGCAGCCGGAAGCAUUUGUUUAAUCAGAUUGCUUUCCUACCACUUGCUGAUGAGUAAUUCUUACCGCUUUUGGGUCAUGGUGGCUUAAAGAAUCUGAUGAGGGCCGGGCACAGUGGCUCAUAUCUAUAAUCUUAACACUUUGGAAGGCCAAGGUGGAAGGAUCACUUGAGCCCAGGAGUUCAAGACCAGCCUGGGCAACAUAGUGAGACCCCCAUCUCUACAAAAAUUUUAAACAAUUAAAAUAAAAAGUCUGGUGAAA
rnacentral:sRNA from 1 species